ACUAAUAUGAGGCAGGCAUAACCUGUGAAUGGGGACGAAGUCUGUAUGAUUAUUUUUUUAAUCCAAUCACGUUGAUAAAAGAAACCGAAAUACCGUACGUAACGUUCCCGAUUUUGAUUCUGUUGUUAGGGAAUUAGCUGUGACGUUCUUUAAGUUAUGACGUCAUAUUCGAUGUAAACAAAAGAAACGCUUUCAUCAGGUAACGUUUUUUCAUAUCAAACAGUUAUUAGAAUUGAAUUUGUAUUGAGAUCCAAUCUUAUAUUUUACUAGACUGAUAAAUAUAAAUUUUUUCAAAGUCUCAUGCAAACAAGACAGAUAUCUGCGCAAAAGCGGAGAAAACCGGAACAGGAAGUAGAUCUGAAAAAAAAAGUUAACGAUUUUGAGUUCAUUAGUAGAAUGAAAAAUUCGGGAAAUUUUUCCCGAUUUUUUUUUUUUUUUUUUUUUUAUUGAUUUUUCUACCGUAAUUGGGGACUUCGUCCCCAUAAUAUGAGGCAGGCAUUACCUGCAAAUGGGGACGAAGUCUGUAUGAAUUAUUUUUUUGUAACUUAAAUAUUUGUUAAAAAAAAGAAACAGAAAUACCGGAACGUUUCCGAUUUUGGUUCUGUUGUUAGGGAUUUUAGUUGUGACGUUAUUUAAAUUAUGACGUCAUAUGCAAUGUAAACAAAGAAACGCUAUCAUCAGGUAACGUUUUUUUCAUAUCAAGGAAUUAUUAAAAAUGAAAUUGGUAUUGCGCGUUCCUUCCUAUUUUAUACUAGACUGAUAAAUAUAUAUUUUACUCAAAGUUUCAUACAAACGAGACCGGAAAAAGGAAGUACAUUGUACAUUUCUGCGCAGGUCCGGGAUUUCAAAACACGACAAAAAAAAUUUGAACGAUUUUGAGUUCAUUAGUAUACAAUGAAAAAUUCGGGAAAUUUUCCCGAAUUUUUUUUUUUAUUGAAUUUUCUACUGUUAUUGGGGACUUCGUCCCCAUAUAAAU
rnacentral:lncRNA from 1 species